GAAGUAGAGAGGAGACAUUGCUGGAACUGGCAGCAGAGGAGUUAUCCAUCUACGAGGAGACCUGUAGAGAUCAAAUGACGGCACUAAUGAGGAUGGAGGAGGACCGGAGUCACAUGACGGAGAAGAUCCUAAACCUCACCCUAAAGAUCUUCUACCUGCUGACCGGAGAGAGAUUUCCUCUUGUGAAGUCAGGUGAUCAUAUGACCAUCA